GAAAAUGAUGUAGUACAUUUUUGUUCUGUUGAUUUGGUCGAUAGUCCGAUGAGAGAUGCACAUUAUCAAUUGAUUACCAAAACAUUAAAUGCAAAUGGUACUGUCGUAUUUGAUCCUAAUGUAAGAUUGCCAUUAUGGGAUAACGCUGAAGAUUUAAGACAAACUAUUCAUACCUUUUUGCCAUUGGCGCAUAUUGUAAAAGUUUCAGAUGAAGAAUUAGAAUUUAUUACAGGUAUUCAUGAUGAAAAUGAAGCGAUUCAAUCAUUAUUU
rnacentral:sRNA from 1 species